GGCGACGUGUGAGCACAUGACACGUUGAGGUUGAUGUAGGAGACGCACGAGCAUAGAAAAUCAAAGAGAAGCACAGAGAAGCGGACCUGCCCACAGCAGCAGAACCGUGGUGAUGAUGAGCAGCUCUCCAGUCUGCAGCACUCCAGCCGGAUAAUGGUCGCUCCUUUCCAGCGUCCUGAAGUGGAUGGCCCGGCUGGGUUGACUGUCGCCCUGGAGUCCAACGGACUGCACCUGAACACAACACAGAUAAGACUGAAGGAAGUUUAACUGCAUCAUGGGUGCCCCCUCGCUGGGAGGUGUGUUCGGUUUGCCUGCUGGGAUGUCAUCUUGGACUUCUGCAGGACAGGGGGGCUCUGCACAAUGUGGAGACUCCAUUCCGGUCUAGCCGUGUCAUGGUGGUCUCUACGGCUGCAUCGUCUGUGGUUGGGGGCUGUGGCACCUCUCGGUGUGGAUAGCUUUCCUCAACUGGUUCCUCAAUGCCAUUCCAUGUCUCUAUAUUAUUAAACAAUAUAUGUUGUGUGUGUGCUAGUGUCUUUUUUGCAGGUGUGUUCGUGUGGGUGUGUUUUGCAUUUACAUGCGUGGAUGGAAGUGAGUUCUUGUAUAUUUGUGGGUAUUUUAAUCGUCAGCUUUUAUCUCGGUAAAGCACUUUGUGUUGCAUUUUAAUGUAUGAAAAGUGAUAUACUGGAUAAAUAAAGUUGAUUUCGUUUGAUAUUUUUGCUGUAAAUUGCUUGUUUGCAUCUUUGCAAAUUUAUAAAAGCUCUACAGAAAACCAUCCAUCCAUCCAUUUUCUGAGCCGCUUCUCCUCACUAGGGAGGGCGUUCUGGAGCCUAUCCCAGCUAUCAUCGGGCAGGAGGCGGGGUACACCCUGA